rnacentral:rRNA from 1 species
GAUGAACGCUGGCGGCGUGCCUAAUACAUGCAAGUCGAGCGAACGGACGAGAAGCUUGCUUCUCUGAUGUUAGCGGCGGACGGGUGAGUAACACGUGGAUAACCUACCUAUAAGACUGGGAUAACUUCGGGAAACCGGGGCUAAUACCGGAUAAUAUUUUGAACCGCAUGGUUCAAAAGUGAAAGACGGUCUUGCUGUCACUUAUAGAUGGAUCCGCGCUGCAUUAGCUAGUUGGUAAGGUAACGGCUUACCAAGGCAACGAUGCAUAGCCGACCUGAGAGGGUGACCGGCCACACUGGAACUGAGACCCGGUCCAGACUCCUACGGGAGGCAGCAGUAGGGAAUCUUCCGCAAUGGGCGAAAGCCUGACGGAGCAACGCCGCGUGAGUGAUGAAGGUCUUCGGAUCGUAAAACUCUGUUAUUAGGGAAGAACAUAUGUGUAAGUAACUGUGCACAUCUUGACGGUACCUAAUCAGAAAGCCACGGCUAACUACGUG